rnacentral:rRNA from 1 species
GACGAACGCUGGCGGCGUGCUUAGCACAUGCAAGUCGAACGGAAAGGCCCUGCUUUUGUGGGGUGCUCGAGUGGCGAACGGGUGAGUAACACGUGAGUAACCUGCCCUUGACUUUGGGAUAACUUCAGGAAACUGGGGCUAAUACCGGAUAGGAGCUCCUUCUGCAUGGUGGGGGUUGGAAAGUUUCGGCGGUUGGGGAUGGACUCGCGGCUUAUCAGCUUGUUGGUGGGGUAGUGGCUUACCAAGGCUUUGACGGGUAGCCGGCCUGAGAGGGUGACCGGCCACAUUGGGACUGAGAUACGGCCCAGACUCCUACGGGAGGCAGCAGUGGGGAAUAUUGCACAAUGGGCGGAAGCCUGAUGCAGCAACGCCGCGUGCGGGAUGACGGCCUUCGGGUUGUAAACCGCUUUCGCCUGUGACGAAGCGUGAGUGACGGUAAUGGGUAAAGAAGCACCGGCUAACUACGUG